rnacentral:lncRNA from 1 species
UGUGAUUGGCUUUAUUCUUUCCUAUUCCUAGUUUCAGUUUUAAAUUUUCACACCUAAGUUCUAGGACACUGUUAUCAAGUUCAAGAACCCGAUUCUUCAACUCAGCAUUUGUAUUAUCACUCUCAUUAGCCCUAGACUGUAGACUUUUGCAUUUUUCUUUUAGGAUCACACAUUCCCUAGACAGAACUUCUUUCUCAUUGUUAAUUAUUUC